GGCGAACGCUGGCGGCGGGCUUAACACAUGCAAGUCGAACGGAAAGGCCCUUGCUUGCAGGGGUACUCGAGUGGCGGACGGGUGAGUAACACGUGGGUAACCUGCCCUUCAGUGGGGGAUAACAUCCGGAAACGGGUGCUAAUACCGCAUAGUUUCUUUUUCCGCCUGGAAGAAGUAGGAAAGAUGGCCUUUGCGCUAUCACUGAGGGAUGGACCCGCGGCGUAUUAGUUAGUUGGUGGGGUAAUGGCCUACCAAGACGAUGAUACGUAGCCGACCUGAGAGGGUGAUCGGCCACAUUGGGACUGAGACACGGCCCAG
rnacentral:rRNA from 1 species